GCAGCCGCGGUAAUACGUAGGUGGCGAGCGUUAUCCGGAAUUACUGGGUGUAAAGGGUGUGUAGGCGGGGAGGCAAGUCAGGUGUGAAAUUUAUGGGCUCAACCCAUAAACUGCACUUGAAACUGUCUUUCUUGAGUGUGGGAGAGGUAAACGGAAUUCCUGGUGUAGUAGUGAAAUGCGUAGAUAUCAGGAGGAACACCGGUGGCGAAGGCGGUUUACUGGACCACAACUGACGCUGAGACACGAAAGCGUGGGGAGCAAACAGGAUUAGAUACCCC
rnacentral:rRNA from 1 species